rnacentral:rRNA from 1 species
UACGAAGGGGGCUAGCGUUGCUCGGAAUUACUGGGCGUAAAGCGCACGUAGGCGGCUUUCUAAGUCGGGGGUGAAAUCCUGGAGCUCAACUCCAGAACUGCCUUCGAUACUGGAGAGCUUGAGUCCGGGAGAGGUGAGUGGAACUGCGAGUGUAGAGGUGAAAUUCGUAGAUAUUCGCAAGAACACCAGUGGCGAAGGCGGCUCACUGGCCCGGUACUGACGCUGAUGCACGAAGGCCAGGGGAGCAAACGGG